rnacentral:rRNA from 1 species
AUUUCUAGAGAUAGAAAGUUACUUCGGUACAUCGGUGACAGGUGGUGCAUGGUUGUCGUCAGCUCGUGUCGUGAGAUGUUGGGUUAAGUCCCGCAACGAGCGCAACCCCUAUUGUUAGUUGCCAUCAUUCAGUUGGGCACUCUAGCGAGACUGCCGGUAAUAAACCGGAGGAAGUGGGAUGACGUCAAAUCAUCAUGCCCCUUAUGAUCUGGGCUACACACGUGCUACAAUGGUUGGUACAACGAGUUGCGAGUCGGUGACGGCGAGCUAAUCUCUUAAAGCCAAUCUCAGUUCGGAUUGUAGGCUGCAACUCGCCUACAUGAAGUCGGAAUCGCUAGUAAUCGCGGAUCAGCACGCCGCGGUGAAUACGUUCCCGGGCCUU